rnacentral:snoRNA from 1 species
AUGACCUUCCAAGUUUUAUUAAGAAGAGGAUGAUCCUAUUUGCGACAUAAUUCGAACAAUUCUUCUUGCGGGCAGCUCUUCAGCUGCUCUCGAGGUUUUGAUGGAGAAAGUGGUUCCUGCGCAGCCAUUAAUCUUGUUACAUUCUCAGAAUGCACAAGGACACUGUUAGAAAAUUCUGAUUCUU